AUGAUUAUUUCCAAAGAUCUCUUCAUAUUCGGCGAACAAAUUUUUGCAACAAUCAUCCCAGAAAGCGGAUCGUCACCGACCGCACAGCAACAAUCGUCAGCGACAACGCAACAACAACAAGUAUCGUCCCAGGAUCCUGUCGCAAUUAUAAAUACAACAACAGCAUUUACGACCGACAUCGAGGCAGCGGCUGAAAUACUGCCCACUUUGAAUGCAGCUGAUGCAACAACAAAAUCAACAAAGAAACCAUCAACAAAGGAACUCAAAAGCGGUGCAGCAACUACAGCAACGAUCGCCUUCGGAGCAGCUGAUUCCAGUGUACUUUUGGAUGCAAAAUUGCAUCAAGCCCCAAAGGAAGUGCAGCUAAAUAAUAUACAAUACCGCCAUCAAUUGCAACGACAACAGCAACCGCAGCAGCAGCAAAUGAGAACAAGAAGCAGAGAAAGCCAACAAAAGAGUCAAAGCGGCGGCGAAAACGGCUACAGGACAAAUAAGUUGUUGUAUACGAAUAGCACGGGAAAGCGACAACAACAGCAACAACACGAACGCUUGCUGAACAGUUUCGGCACGACGGCCGCGACCACAACAACAGCGACCGCGUCAGCGACAGGAAACCACGCGGCGACAUCGGUGAUCAUUCAGCUAGAGGAAGACGCCAACGGCAAGAAGAAGCCAUUAAUGAAGAGAAACUUCACAAAGAUAAUUGCAAAGCCGCUAAUUGCAGCAACAGCAGCCACCACUGGUACUAACAUUGGCAUUGGCAGUGGCAGUGGCGCGGACACGAACGGUGGCACGGUGACGAUCGCAGGCAUAGACGCAACCGCAACAGCCGCUAUUGAGGAGGCAAAUCAAACAAGCGAUUUCGCAACACACGAGGUAACGCCACUGCUGCCAGCCGACCGAACUGAACUGCAAACACAACAACAGCAGCCGCAGCCACAGUCACAGUCACAGCAACAAUUGGAGCACACAAUCGCCGAUCGUCGUCUACAACUGCAACUCCACUUGCCAGCGGCAGAGGAAGGUGUUGCCAGCGACGAUCUGCCAACCGCUUCGACCACAACAACAAGCACCGCCACUUCCGAUCGCGGCAGUUACGACACGACCGCUGUCGCCGAGUCACCUUUUGCCGGCCACAAUUCAAGUCUAAACUCCAACGAGGAUUUGCCGUCAUUGACAACAACGACAACAACAGCAACAACGGCUACAAUGAACAAAGUCAUUUUGGGCAACAACACAAGCAGCGAUCAAACAAUGUCUACAUUUCCUUUCAUAUCCGAUGCGGAACCGCACCACCGCACGCUACAGUUGUCAUUCCAGAAUAUAAACGUACUCCACAACGAGCGCCAGAUUCUCUCCGAUGUGAGUGGCUCAGUAAGGCCUGGUGAGGUUUUAGCCGUAAUGGGCCCAUCUGGCAGUGGGAAGACGACAUUGCUCGACUGCCUCAGCGGGCAGCGGCGCUUCGAUAGUGGCGGCGUCUACCUCAAUCGCGAGCCGCUCUCUAAAAAGUGGCGCCGCAAGAUCUGCUAUGUGCUGCAAGAGGAGAUAUUUUUCUCGGGACUGACCCUUAGAGAGACCGUUAUGUACACGGCAUUGUUACGGCUGCCAGAGAAAAUGCCAAAGUCGGAGAAAAUUCAAUUGGUGGAUCGUAUACUGGAAGCGCUGGAGCUAACCUUUUGUCAACACACGAAAUUUGGCGAUUACCUCAAUCGUGGACUGUCGGGUGGUGAAAAGAAGCGCGCCAAUAUCGCAUGCGAGUUAUUAACUAACCCGUUGGUGAUGUUAUUAGAUGAGCCAACAUCCGGCCUUGACAGUCAUUCUGCCAUAUCGCUCAUGAAUUUUCUUAAGCGCUACGCGGUGCAAGAGCAGAAGACUGUGGUGAUCACCGUUCAUCAGCCGUCUUCGCAAAUGUUCCACAUGUUCGAUAAGCUGUUGCUGCUCUAUAGCGGUCGCACUGCAUACUUUGGUGAGGUGAAUAAUGUUUACACGUAUUUUGAAAGUAUCGGAGUUGCCAUCAAGCCACACUACAAUCCCGCGGAUUUUGUAUUGGAACAGCUGAAGUCGUACCCUAAAAUUCGCGAAAAGCUUUUCAUAGCCGCCAAAGAAUCGCAUGGCAACUACUUGAACAGAAACUGCAUAACGGUGAACACGAACAAUCAACGCAACCAGCAGCACCACUCCAACAAGCAUCAGUUGGACAUACGACGUAAUGGCGCGGCUGGUGACACAAUGUCCCACAUUUCACCCAACACAACUACCAACAGCCCUUCCACUACCACCGAAAUCGUUCACGAGAAACCGCUCAAGCACGAUGCACUCAUCAACGAUAUCAUCAACAAUUACUACAAAGACAUACACAACAAUCACACAAACCAUAUCAAUCAUGAUGCCAUGUUGAUCAUAAAUGACCACCAGAACACCAAUGAGGAGGCGUCGCAACAGCUGUGGUAUGGACACGAUUCCCAAUCAAAUUCGAGCGCCACGUCGAGUGAUUGCCAGCGCUACGAGAGCUGCGGCGACACCGACUGGCUCGAUUAUCCGACGAGUUUUCACACGCAAUUCUGUGUGCUGUCUAGUAGAAAUUUCAAGGAGGCCAAACCGCGUAUGUUAUCCAAGUUGAAUUGGUUCCAAACGAUCGGCUUGGCACUGAUGGCUGGUUCCAUUUGGUUUCAAAUACCCCGUACCGAGGAGUUCCUACAUGAUUUGCAAGGCUGGAUGUUCUUCUCGCAGACGUACUGGAUGCUGUUUGCGCUUUUCGGCGCUUUAAAUUCAUUCCCUGCCGAGCGCGAAGUUAUCAGCAAAGAGCGUCGCUCGGGCGCCUACAGGCUUUCUGCCUAUUACUUGGCGAAAAUGUUUGGCGAACUGCCUUUGGUUGUGACGCUACCGACUGUUUACCUCAUGAUAUCCUACCCGAUGCUCGGCUGUACCAGCUUCAAACUCUUCUCCUUGAUGUUGGUCUUUUUGCUGCUUAACACAAUUGUGGCGCAAAGUGUGGGCUUCUUCAUCGGCGCCUGUUGCAUGGAUAUGAAUGUCAGCAUCACAUUGAGCGCACUCUACACACUGGCGACACAACUAUUCGGCGGCUAUUUGUCGACACGCAUCCCCGAGGGGCUCAGCUGGAUCCGCUACACCUCAAUGAUACACUACGCAUAUCAGAAUAUGCAGAUUUUAGAGUUUCGCGAAGGACCAGUGAUAAGUUGUGGCAACCCUAGUAGCUUUGAAUUCUGUAAAAGUGGUGACACGACGACCACAUUCAUUCCAUACGAGGAGAUACUCAAGGCACAAAACUCCACCUCACCGCUUUGGCUCAACACGCUUGUUUUAAUGAUGUUCUUCGUGGUAUUCCGCUGUCUCGGCUACGCGGUGCUGCGCUACUUCCGCUGCCCCAAAACGUGAUAUUCGAAAGUCCAGUGAGCUUAACGAAUAAAAGCAAACGAAAAAUCACAAAAAAAUUUUGUAACACGAUCCCAAAUAGAAUUUCGCCACGUCCACUUAUGUGUGUAUUCGGCACACGUGGAAACUGUUUCGGCCACACCCGUUGUUUGGUGUUCAGAAUCACGGUUUUUAAGAAUCGACGAACAAUCUUCGUCGGAUGUCCAAGACACCUGCUUUCAUACAUCCUAGUACAUAAAUAAUGCAGAACUAUGUUUUUUAAAUUUACACAUACUUUCAUUUUUAAGAAACCUUGUUUUUAAUAUGUGUAAUGUAUGUAUGUCAACACUAUUUUAAUGAAAAUUUUAUGGCGGUUAAAAUUGAAAGCAUCGCUCUGCUGCCCAGUAAAUCACAAAUGAAGUAUUCAAGAAUAAAAAAGCCGAACGCCCAAACAAAA
rnacentral:misc_RNA from 1 species